GACUACGUUGACCUUCUGACUGUGAUUACCAGCCCGCGUAGAUUACGUUCUCCAGUCGAUGCCCCUCCUGCUCUGCCUGAGAGACGUUACAAAUCUACUAUGCAAAAGUAGUGAUAUUAAAUGAAAGGUGCACAACUUUUACAAACCGAARUGGACGCAUAUCGUAGGGGAAGCAUAGAAAAGUAAAUAUGAGACUUACAUGUAAAAUAUACUCGUUUAGAAUGAAGAGUCAWAGCAAUUUUGCACAUUUAAUGUUUUAAUUAUAAACUCUUGCGGAUAAAUAAAGAAUUAUUUACAAAUUUUAA